CUGCCGGAUUGGUCUCAGAAAUUUCCAAAUCUCCGGUGGUAUGGUGCUUCAGAUCUUGCCUCCUUGAGGAUCAAGCAGUCUGGCUUGAAGCUUGCACAUAUUAUUCUGUUCUUAUUCCUUGUGUUCGCUUCAUUUCUUGCUGGUGAUGUUUUCCUCCAACACUUUCUGCAUCAGCAAGAGGCUAGUCUUGGUCGUUGCAUUCUCUCUGCAGUUGCUGCUACCCAUCUCAACCUCCAGCUCGGAGGCCCACGACGUUGUGGUCUUUGGGGGCAGCGACUCCAUGGUGAGUACGACGGCGCAGCUUGGCCUUCUUGGUGGUCUCAGCCUGUUUUAGGGGUUAUUGUUCACCGCCUGACACUUGCUCAUAUGAUCCAGUAUCUUUUGCGUAGCGAGUUUUCAUCCUCCGGUUCUCUUCCGGGAAUCGUCGGAGGCUGGUUGUUCGAAGCCUUCGCUGCAUGCCGGGUGGCAGCCGGAGACGCAGCUCGGUGGCAAUGUCGUGUUCUCCGGUCGGCGGCGGCAAAGGGCGAUGAAUCCUUUUCCCACGUGUAAUGUACGCGUGGCGACUCGAUGGAUGCGGAUGGACGCGUGUUCACUGCAGUUUAGUGUGUGUGUACGCGUGUGUUGUAUGACCAGUGUUGUAAUUUUUCCGAUUCACAAACUUGUAUCAGUUAUGUCGAGUUGUAAUCUUUGGGGUGUUCUCACCCCACUCGUAUCUUAAUGGAAUGCAGAGAGUUUUUACAAAAAAAAACGCAACCUUUCCUCUCUAGACCCCAGCCUCUGCUCUUGUUCCAGCCUUCCAGGCUUUGAGCAUAGGGCCAUAGGGGUGCAACAGUACAUCACGAGCUGCCUCCUUGCCUCCCAUAGCCAACCCCGCGCGCAGCACACAACACCAACUUUUGCGCAAAAUGGAUUCUCUUUGUUGCAUUGAAUCUCCCGUUAGCUCCAGCCUCCGGUGAGCCUGCCGGUAAAAUGCUCGACGGCCAGCCACCUCCCCUGUUUUUGCCAUGAGCAACCCCUCUUCUCCCUUAAUUAAGCGAGUAACAUGUAAGCCUACAGCCCGAAAAACAAAAGAUGGCCCAAAACAAGAAAACACUAUUCAUGCGUACCGUUCACUGCCCGGGACCACCAUUGUUACUUAGCGGGUUUUGACGUUGUUCGCCAACCUUCGCUCAAAAAAAUAAAAAAUAACUAGUUGAUUCCCCUGCGCGUUGCUGCGGGUCAUGCGGGAAAAAAUAGAAUGUGAUAAUAUGUAACAUCCCAAAAUUUCAAAUUCUUACAUGUGCAUUGCAUCCAUGAGCAUCAUGCCACAAUUGCAUAUUUGAAUUCAAAUUUGAAUCUCAAAAGGCUUUAAAAGAUUUUUAUUUCAUUUUAAACCCUAGGGUUUUCACCCAUUUGAGCUUUGGAUCUUCAAACCAAUGGGUUUUAUUUAUAAAAGGGGUUUAUUGCAUAAAUGAACUAUCCCAUAAUUUUUGGAUAAUUAUUUGGAGUUGAAAAACUAUUUUAUUUAAAUAGUUAUAUAGCCCUAAAACAUUUAUAGGGCAAAUGUAUUUUUAUAUCUUUUAUUUUGAGGGGAAAUUUACUCCCAAAAGUUGAAUCAUGAUAAAACAUGAUUUUACAAAUUUUCUAGAAUUUAUUUGGAUCAAUUUGGAGUUCAAAAUCAAAAGAUAUCAAAGAAAUGAGAAAAAGGAAAAAAAAGAAAAGGCUAAAAGAAAAAAAAGGAAAAAACCGGACCGGCCCGGCCGUUUUGGGCCGAACCAACCACUGCGAUCCCCACGCCGCGCCGUCGCCGCCGUGACUCCCGCGUCCGCCGAUUUCGGCCUUCCCGAAACUCGCCGCCCGCGUCCCUAUAAAGCCGAGCCUCCCCUCUUCUUUUUCUCUCUGCUCGCCCCCUCCCGCAUGCGCCCACGCCGCCGCGAUUGCUCGCCGGAACCCUAGCACGGCCGACGCCCGUUCUCGCUCGCCAUCGACCGUACGGUACGCCACGUCGCCGGAGACCUCGCCUAUCUCCUCCCUCUCUUCCUUGCGGACAAGCUAACGCGCUCGGUUUUCUUUUUCGCGCACCGCAGCACCUCGCCGUCGUCAAGCCGAAGCUCCGCCGCCGCCCGCAGCGCCUCCGUCGUCCUAGGCGCCGACCCCGUCGCACCCGCGCCUCGCCGCCGCCCUCAGCGCCUCCGCCUCGACAAGACACGCACGCCCAUCUCCUCCCCGACCCGAAACCCCGCCGGAAAACACCCGCCGCCGCUCCCCGCCAUCGCCGGAGCUCCGCCAGAACCCUAGCGCCGCCGGUAAACCCUCAUGCUCAAUCUCGUCCGUUGGAUCUUGAUGAACGGCCGAGAUUAGAUCCAGUUAAUUUAUUUUAAUUGAAACGGUAUCGUCCAAUUAGAAGCUGACACGUGACACUUUAAUAGAAAAAUAAAAAUGUAAUUUUUAAUCCCCCGGUUUAGUAUAAAUGGCACUUUUGUAGAAAAGCCCCUGUAACUUCAAAUGCUUAUAACUUUUAAACCCUUUGGCCAAAUUUGACAAACUUUACCUUUUUGAAAAGCUCUCAACCUGUAGAAUCUUUUGGCACUGUUUAAAUUUAAAUUUGCAUAAUCGAAUCAUAGUCAAUUUACAGAAAGUCCUUUUAUGCCAUUUAAUUCAUAACUAAUUAUUUAGAAAUCCUUUUUAAUUGAAACCAGUGCCCAAAUUUUUUUUUUAUCCUCUGUCCAUUGGGAUAGAGAAAUAAAUAUUUUGAAUUAAAUUAUUUGGCUGAUGCCAAUAAAACUAUAAUUUAGGGUUUUAAUCAAUUAUUUUUGCCUUUUAUUUAAAACCCUAAUGCAUUUGUUUUAAUUACCAAUUCUUAAGAUCAGUUGAUCAUCCAAAUAAAAUAAACCAAAACAUGUCACAUGUUUUGCAUUGCAUCAUGGCAUAUAUUUUUACUUUUGAUUGUAUUGUGUGUUUAUGUAUGCAAUGUUUGUAUUUGAUUAGUUUUCUCGGAGAGCGAACUAUGUGAUUGUGAAGAGUGCUUGAAUACCAACUGCUAUCAAGGCAAGUUCACUUUGACCAUCAUCCCAUUAUUUUAUUAUGCACUAGAUUUUAUUAGUUGCAUUGUUAGGAUUAUUAUUCUAUCUAUGCUAGCUAUUCUCUCCUAGUAGUAUAGGAUACCCUUGCCAUGUCCUCACCACCAAUUGCCAUCGUGGUAGUAAAAUGCUAUGCUAUGAUAAUAUACGAGGGUGGUAUUAUUACAAUGUGAUACUAUUGAAUUACAAUAUGGUUUUCCUAGUGUAUGGCAAAACAAGUAAUUCAAUGAACCGUCCUGAGUGGGCUGCUUUGAGGAAUUGGAGAUGUAUGCGACGUCAGGUCCAUUUCUAUGGGUCCAUUUCUAUGAGUCGUCUCGCCAUUUCUAUGGGAGCGCCUGCGUUGCAACUGAGGAAUGCCACCCGGGGUAACCAGAGACUGGACUAGUUUCCUGUUUAGUAACUUCCAGUACAACCACAUGGUAUUAUGGGCUCUGCCAGGAUGGAUGUAAGAAAUAUGAACCUGGAUCCGAGGUGACAUCGGUAUGUAGCAGUGUAGAUUGGAACGCGUCCCUCAGGUGGUUUGGGGGAAUAUGUUCUGAAAAUUCCUGUAAUCGAUGCCGUUGCUACUCUACUCUGAGGACAACAAGGGAUUAACACGUUGGUUUCUUGUGGGAAAUGUGUACAACCUCUCGAGAGUGUCAAACUAAGUACUUAGCCGUGUCUCCGGUUACGGACAAUUAUGAGCAACUAGAUAUUGGGGCUGUAAGGAAGGUCUCACUCAUUCCAAUUUCCUAAUAAAAUGAAUGGAUUUGAACCGGGUAUGAGCAUUGAUGUAUCUACUCAAUGUGCCUAGGUUAAUAGGAGCAUGGGUGUUUUUACCCCGUGUCCAAUAGAAUUUAAAACUAUUUGUUUAAAAAUGAUAGUAUUGAACAAUGAUGCUUUCAUGCAAAUAGCCAAACCCCUCCUAGCCAAAUUAUGCAUGUACUUGGUAGGUCCUUUAUAACUCUGGUGAGCUUGCCAAUACAUUCAAAUGUAUUGACCACGUAGUGGCUACAAUUAACAAUGCAGGUGGAUCCGACGAUGAGUGGGGUUUGUCGUUAUGUUGUGGAUCAUGUGCUUACAUUCCAACAUGCUCUCACCUUGGAGUAGUUGUGGCUCUUAUGUUCUACCCUUUUCCGCUGCAGUUUUGAAAACAUUGUUUUAUGAUGUUGAAACAGUAUUUGCUUUAUGCUGGCCCAAGAGGUCAUGCGAGGUUGUAAGUACUAUUUAAAUCCUGGAUGAUGCGAUGUAAUGUACUUUUGACCUUUGUUUCUGUAUAUUUCAUCAUGAAACUGUGUGUGCUAGUGAGUCGAUCCAAGGACUAGCACAGUAAGCAGAGAGAUCGAACCCUGUAAGGGGAGGAUCGCUUCAUAAUAAAACAAAAUAUUCAAUAAGAUCAUAUUAUAUUUGAUUCGUAUUGCAGUUAGAAAGAAGAGUAUGAGGACUCAUGCUUUUUGUAUCAUCCGUAAUCAUUAGAGAAAGGUUGUACAUGAUUGAGUAAAAUAUGAUACAAUAGUUGUUAGUAAGAAUACCAUCUUGUCUACAAAUACGAAUAUCAUCAUAUUGAUUUAGUAAGCUUGCAUCAACACAUAAGAUGUGAUAUGAGUAGUGGGAAAUAAACUCUUCUUUGAUCACUUGAAACAUAGUAGAAAGCAUCCAAAACAGAAUGAAAUGCUAUUCAAAAGAAGAAGCUACCUUGCCCAACCACUAGAUCAUUUUUCCUAAUGUGUGACUACCCAUAUCAGUUACAACAUCUUCCGUUUCCAAGUUUUCAGUGCCUUUUUAUUAUAGUCUAAAAAAUAGUGUAGAGUGAUUAUAGAUGGAGUUAUGUUGCAACAAAUUGGUUUAGGCAAUUCAUACUCUUGGACAUCUAAAAAGGACAUGGACAUCUUGGUGUCCAGAUUGUUGGUGUAUCCUUGACCACACAUUUUGCAGACUUCGUACCAUUUAGAGGACUGAAUCACUGCUUAUAUCUUUGCAAUGCAACAGUAGGUAGCUCCUUUUUGUUUUGAAGGUGAAUAAUAUUAAUUUAAAUGUUUUAGAAGCAAUAUUGAGAACUAUGGGAAUGAAUAAGUACCUGAAAGAUGAAAUUGGCAAUGCAGAUAUUUCAUCAAAUUUGUGCAGUUUGCCUGCUGCUUGAAAUGGAUAUAAAUGCACAACUUGAGGUAGUCGUUGCUGUAGAGUUGGAAUUUCCCAUUUAUAGCUGAAAGUGAAUAUAUGCUGGUUCAGUAGGCAGAUGAAGAGAAAAAAGAUUUAAAAUGUGGUAAUUGAAAGUCUUGAUGAACCUGUUUCUCUAUUGGGUAAUCUCUGGUAUAUCCAAGUAAUGUAUAUUUUGGUUGCUGAACUUGAAGUAGCUUCUAGUUUUCCUAUUUAAAAAUCAAUCAACGACCAGCCUGACCAAGUCACCAAGCCACGAACAAAAGGAGUAGAAUAAUCUACCAACCAGACGAAUGUUACAUUUUUUAAUUAUUAACUUGGUAGACACUAAGAACUACUACUGAAAUGAAAGGGUGAAAUUUCUAGUGAUUGACAUUGUGCAGUUCUCUGUUGCAGAAAUAGAGUUGUCCGGUUGCCAAUCAAAUUGGCGCCGAGGGUCGAAUUCAGAGAUGUUGGGGUUGAGCUGAUACAGAGUGCUUGAAUAAAACUAAUCAGAGUGCAUAUAUAUUGGUGGCUCUAAAAUCAAGAUUAGAAACUAAAUAAAUCACAGUCAUCCAAGCAGAGCAGUGCGAUUUUCGGCUGGCACAUGCCUGUUAGCAAUUACCCUUGGCUCUUCAGGUGUAUGCAUGCCCUCUAAAAUAGAGGAUUUCAUUGUACAGUGGAGUAAUCAGCCCAUUUGCUAAUGACUGCAGCAAAGAUUUUCUUUUCUUUUUUGCAGCCUACUAAACAUGUACUCCGAUAACUAAAAAAGGGGAAUCCUUAAUACAUACCUUAGAAGCGGCCUUGCUGGAUGGAAUCAACCACGUGAUGCAGCGAUUUUCUUCACACAAACAAUGGCUGCAAUGACAAAAUACAAGUAAAACGCUACCAAAUGAAAGAUAUAAGGGUCAAGAUAGAUGAGCCAAAAACUUAUGAAUGCUCGGAAGAAGCGGGGGAAUUUCGUCACAUCCGGCAAACACCAGGAGGCGUAUAGCCAACGCCAACAAUUGGAUGAGAAGAGCUCAUGGAAGGGGUCUCAUAUAUGGGUUGUAGUACAGCAUCCAGCCGAUGGAAGCCAUUAACUUCGAUAGAGCGGCUCUUUGCAUCCAGCCGAUGGAAGCCAUUAAAUUCGAUGGAGCGGCAAAGCAUUUUGUCAGAGGAAGUUACUGGGGCUCACACGUUUUUCCUAGACCACUAAUUGGACUGGAAUAAUCUGUAAUUAGCAUUAAAAAGAAGCAUUGGGACAUCAAGAAGCUAAAUCCAACCGGAGCAAUUGCCAAGACUGAGCUACGUUCCAACACCAACCGGAACAAUUGCGCCAAGACUGAGCUACGUUCCAACACCAACCGGAACAAUUUCGCAGACGGCGCUCAGCAGCGAGGAUGGCGGCGGUGGCGGGGGUGGAGCCCGUGGGCAGCAGGGAUGCGGCGGUCGGGGAUGAGCCCGAGGGCGGCGUGGAAGGCGCUCGGCGGCGGUCGGGGAUGAGCCCGGGGGCGGCGUGGAAGGCGCUCCGCGGCGGUCGGGGCGGAGCCCGGGGGCGGCGGGGACGCGGCGGGUGGGACUGAGGGCGGUAGAGCCCGUGGGCAGUAGGGAUGCCGUGGUCGGGGAUGAGCCCGAGGGCGGCGUGGAAGGCGCUUGGCGGCGGCCGGGGCGGAGCCAUGGGCGGCGGGGACGCAGGGGGUGGGUGGCGGCCGGGGCUGAUCCCGAGGGCUGCGGGGGCGGAGCCCGGCGGGUGCAGCGCGAGCCGGCGGCUGGGGGCGCUGCCGAGCGGGCGGCGUCUUGCACAUCGGGCGCAAGAAGCGGUCGGGGCAAGACCGAGCGGCCAGGCUAGAAGCAGUUGGGUUGACAUGGGAGUAUUUUUUUCGAGGGAAAAACGUGUGAGUAUUAGGGGAUGGGAUGCUGACGUGUACGUGGACGCUGACGUGGAUAGCCUGCAUGUUGAGCUUGCUAAAAUUAACUGCAGUUAGUGGGUUUCAACUUUAUAGAGUUUAUAAAUUCAGCCAAUCCGGUAUAAACAGUAUUCAACCCACCUUGUUCACCUGGAACCCGGAAACCCUUUAGCACACUUGUUUAGACCAUUUUUUCCGGCAUCUGCAUCAAUCGAUACACACGACUUUUAUAUUAAUGAUGUCGCGAACAACGUUGAAUUUAGUUAUUACUACUCAAACGACAGCAAAGUAGGAAAAGAAACAUAAUUCUCUUAGGGGGAUGUAAACGGAUCGAACUGGAUAAUGCUCUUUUCAUAUCAUUUACCUUAAUUUUUUGCUUGAUUCGGAGCGGAGCGGAUAAUGAUCGGAUUAGGAUUCGAAUGCGAAUUAUACCAGACUACAGAUUCAGGGAAAAAAUGAACCUGACACGGAUUGGAAACGGAUGACAUAAUUUUAUUUCCGCCAUGUAAAAAUAAAAUAUUUAUAUAAGUGCAUAACUAUUCCGAUGACUUAGUUGUACAUAAUUUUUCAUGAAUUAAUUUACUACACCAGGUGUGUGUUACAUGUAUACAUCCACCGGAAACAAAGGAGAAUAUACUUAAUUGAUCUACAAAGUCAGAAACAAAGUAGAAGAUGGGCAAAACUGCAACUUGAAAAUAGUGUUGGAAUUUUGGGUUAGGUACAAGGCCCAAUCUGAAAUUAAUUCCUGGAAAAUCUCAAAAGCCCAUUCAUGGAGUGGGAUGAGGAAGUGGGAAUAGUCCCACCUUGCUAGUUUAGGAGAGUUGGACCAAUAUAUAAGGUAUGUUGGUUCUCAACUCUUGAGCAAGUGAGCAAGGGAAAUCCCCACACGCGCUCCUCCUCCUCCUCCACACGCCUCGCCUCGCCUCGCCUCGCGCCUCGCGUUUCGUGGAUCGAUUUCGAGUUCGAGCCGGGUCGGGGUGGGGUCGUGCUUAUCUUUUUGGCAGUCGGAAUCCGUUGCGGACGCGUAACAAAUCCUGAUAAUUGCGGAGUCGGUUUUGGUUUCCUAAACCGAACCGAAGUCCGCCUGCGUGCCUAUAUAAUAAGACGACCGCGGCCUCCGGACGUACCACGCCACAACCCUAGCCGUCACGCCCACGAUCCAAUCUCGCCGUUCGCCGCCAACUGCUACUCCAUCCCGUCGGCUGCGUGCACAGAUCGCCGGGAGAGCAGGCCUUCAGAACCCCGACCUUCGAGAUCCUGCCUGGGAGACGGUCGAUAAGGUUUUUGGGGAGCGUUCUCAUGCGACUGCUCGCUUCUUCACGUUCUUGUUUCGUCGGCAUCUUCAUCACCAAUGACCGACGACCUUGGAGAUCCCGCGGCUCAGAAUGCCAUUCUAGCUCAGCAGCAGCA
rnacentral:lncRNA from 1 species